ACACUCCUACGGGAGGCAGCAGUGGGGAAUUUUGGACAAUGGGCGAAAGCCUGAUCCAGCAAUGCCGCGUGAGUGAAGAAGGCCUUCGGGUUGUAAAGCUCUUUUGUCAGGGAAGAAACGGUGAGAGCUAAUAUCUCUUGCUAAUGACGGUACCUGAAGAAUAAGCACCGGCUAACUACGUGCCAGCAGCCGCGGUAAUACGUAGGGUGCAAGCGUUAAUCGGAAUUACUGGGCGUAAAGCGUGCGCAGGCGGUUUUGUAAGUCUGAUGUGAAAUCCCCGGGCUCAACCUGGGAAUUGCAUUGGAGACUGCAAGGCUAGAAUCUGGCAGAGGGGGGUAGAAUUCCACGUGUAGCAGUGAAAUGCGUAGAUAUGUGGAGGAACACCGAUGGCGAAGGCAGCCCCCUGGGUCAAGAUUGACGCUCAUGCACGAAAGCGUGGGGAGCAAACAGGAUUAGAAACCCGUGUAGUCCC
rnacentral:rRNA from 1 species